rnacentral:misc_RNA from 1 species
GGGUGUUGUUUCCAUUUUAUGGUAAACCUGAGCGUAAUUACUAAACUACUAGAAAUGGUUGCUAACAUAUGGAAGUCAACUCGGUGAAUAUUAAUGUUGAAAAUCCUGCCCCACUUCUUGGUCCAACAUGUUUGGCUAAACUAUUCAGCCGCGUUCUAUUCAGACAUCUGAUUUUCCUCGAUAAAAGCAUUAGUACCUUUUGUUUUUCCUGUUCCUUUCUCUUCUGGUCUCAGAUUAUUAGGGGAAGCGGAUUAUGUUUCAAGCACCUUAAGAA